UACAGGGGGGGCAAGCGUUGUUCGGAAUUACUGGGCGUAAAGGGCCAGUAGGCGGCCAACUAAGUCCGACGUGAAAUCCCCCGGCUUAACCUGGGAACUGCGUCUGAUACUGGAGGGCUUGAGUGCGGGAGAGGGAUGUGGAAUUCCAGGUGUAGCGGUGAAAUGCGUAGAUAUCUGGAGGAACACCGGUGGCGAAGGCGGCAUCCUGGACCGACACUGACGCUGAGGCGCGAAAGCUAGGGUAGCAAACGGGG
rnacentral:rRNA from 1 species